rnacentral:rRNA from 1 species
UACGAUUGGUGCAAGUGUUAUUCCCCGUGAUUGGGCGUAAAGGGUACGUAGAUAGUUUUUUACUUUCGACAAAAAAUUUAUCCACGAUUAUAUCGGUAUUUGUUUAAUACUAUUAAACUAGAGUGUAGAUAUGAAAUUGGAACGUAUAAAUGAGAGUUGAAAUGCGAUGGUAAAUUAAACGGAACACUUACUGCGGAGGCAUUUUUCUAGAUUACACUGACAUUGAGGUACUAAAGUAUGGGUAUCAAAUGGG